ACUAAUAUAAUACUAAACACUAUCUAAUAAAAGAAAAACAAUAUCAACUAAUUACCAUUUAUUUUUAAUUUCAACAAUCUUUUUCUCUACCGUGUGCAAUUCUCCCCCAUUAGUGAACCUCUUCAUUGCCAUAACAGUAGCCUCUUUCAAUAUUUUCCCAAAUUAAAUCUCACCUCACCGUUGCAUAUACUGAAACGCUUCACCUGGACCUCCCCUUCCACGUCAAAGACCUCUUCACCGAGCUCCAAAUCGGCGAUGUCGAAUAGAAAAAAGGCAUACAGUUCCGCUCAGUUCUUUUUUCUCCAGAUCUAAUUCUCCUUCAAAAAUCACAAAAUUGCAGAGAGAGAAAUGUAAAACCCCUCCCACUCUCUUUAUUCUCCUCGAAUUUUCAGAAUAAUUGUAAAGCGAGUGAAGUUUGGGAAGAAAUUUUGGGAGUAUUGGAUGCCAAGAAGGAAGAAAUGUGGCAAGGACGAAAGAAAGAUUGAGACGAAGAGAGAAGACCCAGUACAAAAACUCCAUUUGCAGUGGUCGGCGCAAGGAUAAAAAAGUUUUUCGGCGAAUAUGGAACAUAAUUCGGGCUAGAUAAACUUAGUGAUGUAGUGGGUAAGUGGUAGAGACGAAGUAGAGAGUGAAUAUUUCCAUGGGUCGGAGUGGUGGCUGCUCGUCAGAGUAAUGUGGAGAAACGAGCGGCGGCGCGCGGGAUUUCUAAUUCUAGGUAAUGAAAGCUCCUGCACGACGUCGUGGUUUGGGUUGGGAUUUCUUUUUGGUAAGAAUCAUGCGUGUGUUAUUUUAAUGUAUUUUCAAAUAUAUUCAAGACAUCAAGUAGUACUCCCUUGCAAAAAUAUUAAAA